CUACGGGGGGCUGCAGUGAGGAAUAUUGGUCAAUGGGCGCGAGCCUGAACCAGCCAUCCCGCGUGCAGGAUGACGACCCUAUGGGUUGUAAACUGCUUUUCUAUGCCAAGAAACCCUGUUACGAGUAACAGGUUGCCGGUAGCAUAGGAAUAAGCAUCGGCUAACUCCGUGCCAGCAGCCGCGGUAAUACGGAGGAUGCAAGCGUUAUCCGGAUUCAUUGGGUUUAAAGGGUGCGCAGGUGGGCUUGUAAGUCAGUGGUGAAAUGCUGCCGCUUAACGGUAGAACUGCCAUUGAUACUGCGAGUCUUGAGUAUGGUUGAGGUAGGCGGAAUGUGUUGUGUAGCGGUGAAAUGCAUAGAUAUGACACAGAACGCCAAUUGCGAAGGCAGCUUACUAAGCCAUUACUGACGCUGAGGCACGAAAGCGUGGGGAGCGAACAGGAUUAGAUACCCGGGUAGUC
rnacentral:rRNA from 1 species